rnacentral:rRNA from 1 species
UGCAGUCGAACGAUGAUCCCCAGCUUGCUGGGGGGAUUAGUGGCGAACGGGUGAGUAACACGUGAGUAACCUGCCCUUGACUCUGGGAUAAGCCUGGGAAACUGGGUCUAAUACUGGAUACGACUCUUCACCGCAUGGUGGGGGGUGGAAAGCUUUUGUGGUUUUGGAUGGACUCGCGGCCUAUCAGCUUGUUGGUGGGGUAAUGGCCUACCAAGGCGACGACGGGUAGCCGGCCUGAGAGGGUGGACGGCCACACUGGGACUGAGACACGGCCCAGACUCCUACGGGAGGCAGCAGUGGGGAAUAUUGCACAAUGGGCGCAAGCCUGAUGCAGCGACGCCGCGUGAGGGAUGAAGGCCUUCGGGUUGUAAACCUCUUUCAGUAGGGAAGAAGCGAAAGUGACGGUACCUGCAGAAGAAGCGCCGGCUAACUACGUGCCAGCAGCCGCGGUAAUACGUAGGGCGCAAGCGUUAUCCGGAAUUAUUGGGCGUAAAGAGCUCGUAGGCGGUUUGUCGCGUCUGCCGUGAAAGUCCGGGGCUUAACUCCGGAUCUGCGGUGGGUACGGGCAGACUUGAGUGAUGUAGGGGAGACUGGAAUUCCUGGUGUAGCGGUGAAAUGCGCAGAUAUCAGGAGGAACACCGAUGGCGAAGGCAGGUCUCUGGGCAUUAACUGACGCUGAGGAGCGAAAGCAUGGGGAGCGAACAGGAUUAGAUACCCUGGUAGUCCAUGCCGUAAACGUUGGGCACUAGGUGUGGGGGACAUUCCACGUUUUCCGCGCCGUAGCUAAC